GCUGAGUGUGGUGGUGCACUCCUGUAGUCCUAGCUACUCAGGAGGCUGAGACAGGAGGAUUGCUUGAGCCCAGGAGCUCUGGGCUGAAGUAUGCUAUGCCAAUCAGGUGUCCACACUAAGUUCGGUAUCAAUAUGGUGACCUCCCGGGAGUGGGAGACCACCAGGUUGCCUAAGGAGGGGUGAACCGGCUCAGGUCAGAAAUGAAGCAGGUCAAGGAUAUGGAAGUCUGACCUGAAGACAAUUUCAAUCUCUGACCAGAGACCGUGGACAGCUUGAUCUACCUGUAUU
rnacentral:SRP_RNA from 1 species